rnacentral:rRNA from 1 species
GAUGAACGCUGGCGGCGUGCUUAACACAUGCAAGUCGAACGGUGAAGCAGGAGCUUGCUCUUGUGGAGCAGUGGCGAACGGGUGAGUAACACGUGAGCAACCUGCCCCUGACUCUGGGAUAAGCGCUGGAAACGGCGUCUAAUACUGGAUAUGUGAUGUGACCUCAUGGUCUGUAUCUGGAAAGAAUUUCAGUUGGGGAUGGGCUCGCGGCGGAUCAGCUUGUUGGUGAGGUAAUGGCUCACCAAGGCGUCGACGGGUAGCCGGCCUGAGAGGGAGACCGGCCACGCUGGGGCUGAGACACGGCCCAGACUCCUACGGGCGGCAGCGGUCGGGAAUAUAGCGCCCUGGGAGGAAGCCUGCGGCCGCAGCGCCGCGUGAGGGAUGACGGCCUUCGGGGUGUAAACCGCUUUUGGCAGGGAAGAGGCAAAAGUCACCGUACCUGCAGAAAAAACACCGGCUAACUACGUGCCAGCCGCCGCGGUAA